GACAGAAUCAUCCAGAGCUGGAAUCAAACCUUCAACCACUUGAAGAUGAAGCCCUUCAGUGUAGCAGUUGUGGUGGCGGUGAUGGUGGUUGUUGUGUGUGUUCACCAGAGCUCUGCUCUUCCAUCCAGUGAGGUGGAAGAGCAACAGAAGAUGAUGAUGGAGAGUCCUGCAGAGGAACAAGAGCAAAUGGCCCUGCACCUCUGGGAGAUGCCGCACAGCAGAGAGAAACGUGGCAUCAAGUGUCGCUUCUGCUGCGGCUGCUGCUCUUCAGGAGGCUGUGGAGUCUGCUGCAGAAAAAGAAGAGGCUGAAGGUUCUCAAGAAACUUGAGCAACUGGUGUGAUGAAACGUGCAAUAUAGAUAUACAGAUAUAUUUUUGUCAUUUUAUUGAUUACUUUAUGUUCAUAAAGCUUUAAAACCUCCUGUAACAUGUUAUGCAACCUCUUUACACCACUAUGAAUUCGUGUCUGAUGGUAAUGAUCAUGUAAAUGAAGAAGAGUUUCAUGUGGUUAAAAAACAGUCACAUGAUUAUAUCUUCAGGAUAUAAAGGUCACCAAUAAAACACU